rnacentral:lncRNA from 1 species
UUUUACUAAGUAGCUGCAUGGGUCUUUUUCGUUGGAGGUGCAAAUGGCAUCGAGCCUCUUACCACUCUUCUGUUCUUUUCUCUAGCUGCCCUUUUCCGUAUAUUUUCUUGAAUUUCAAUAUGUUGCAAAUCUUCCACUACAAUUUGGAGUGGGAUAUUUUCAGUUGGGAUUUGCACAAAUGCUUCAGUUGCCACGCCUUUCUCAGCCCUUGAAGAACCUGGCUCAGUAAGUGAAGGGGCACUCGAGUCAUAUUGUACAACAUUUCUCGAACCUAAUCCAAGCAUUGGCAUAAACUGGAACUCAAAUGGUGGAGGUGGCUGAACUUCAUUUCUCGAACUCUUGUCUGAUCUCCUAGGCAUUAGCUUUGCCUAUGACAAAAUGGAAAGAGCAAAAAUCGGGCAAUAAUCAGUUUGGAUGCAUAUUAAACACAAGCCAAUACUUGUACGCUCUACAUCAUAAGCAAGCAAAUCCUAAAAUAAGUAGAUGGGAUAAAUAAUUAUAAUCAUUUUAAGAAAAAUAUGAAAUCUUUAAAAUUAGAACUAUUUAAAAGAAAACAAACCUCUUGUGGUGCAUCAAACCUUUGGUGGUAUCAUUUGUUUGUUCCGUUGGUCCACAGCACUACAAGUCAUAAGUACAGUUCCCCCAUUUUUCAUUUUUGCCUUUGAGCCUGAAUGGGUGAUGACAUCUAUUCACUAAGAAUGUAAACCGCAAGUACACGGG